rnacentral:lncRNA from 1 species
UUACCUGUACUGACCCACUUUCUUUGAUGAUGUUAGCUUGGAAGGAUCUCAGGGUUUCUCGUUCCUUUAAUUGAUGUUACCUCGGAUCUUCAUCCGUGUGGUACUUUUACAUUUUUCCCGCAUUUUACUGCUUUCCUAGCUGGAAGACCUCGAUAGGAGGCAAUGUUUUUGUGUUUACUUUAUGCAGGUUCCUUUGUCCAGGACUCCUUUUGCAUGAGC